rnacentral:rRNA from 1 species
GAUGAACGCUGGCGGCGUGCCUAAUACAUGCAAGUCGAGCGAACAGACGAGGAGCUUGCUCCUUCGACGUUAGCGGCGGACGGGUGAGUAACACGUAGGUAACCUACCUAUAAGACUGGGAUAACUUCGGGAAACCGGAGCUAAUACCGGAUAAUAUUUCGAACCGCAUGGUUCGAUAGUGAAAGAUGGCUUUGCUAUCACUUAUAGAUGGACCUGCGCCGUAUUAGCUAGUUGGUAAGGUAACGGCUUACCAAGGCAACGAUACGUAGCCGACCUGAGAGGGUGAUCGGCCACACUGGAACUGAGACACGGUCCAGACUCCUACGGGAGGCAGCAGUAGGGAAUCUUCCGCAAUGGGCGAAAGCCUGACGGAGCAACGCCGCGUGAGUGAUGAAGGUCUUCGGAUCGUAAAACUCUGUUAUUAGGGAAGAACAAACGUGUAAAUAACUGUGCACGUCUUGACGGUACCUAAUCAGAAAGCCACGGCUAACUACGUG